GAAGGAACUCCUCAUACGGGAACAGCAGGUGCUCGAUUUGGGGUGUGGUUAUAACCUUUACUUCCCUUCCUACUAGUGCCUUGCUUUGCCUACUCCAACCCCGUCCAGGAACCGAGCAGCCCCCACCCGCCUCGGAGGAAUCGAUGGAGCACCUUUGAGUGCGCGAGUUGCCGCUCUCCGGGUACGGGGCCCGGAGCGUUAGCCUCCCGCGAGUAUCGGUGAGCGGCUGCCGAACUGCCAUGGGCGCCAGGCCGCUGGGGCGUGCCGCAGCCGCAAGAACCCGCAAGGGACCCCGCGCCCGCACCGGUCCCGGCCUCCUGGCUCCCUGCCGCUCCACACAGCAGCGAGAGCAGCAGCAGCAAGAGGACGAGACCCAGCUCAGGGCAACGUCCACACACCAGCCCUAGUGCGGGCGCAGCCAUGUUGUCCCGCGGGCCAUGUGACCCGGUUGGUCACGUGGCUGAGCCCUCCUUAAAGGGGCAGAAUUUUGAGCUGACUUACGAAGUGACCAGGAGAGUUGCUCUUCACCUUUCUUCAGGUACUUCUUUGGCGCUGCUGCUUGCCUGUGCUAACGUCAAAACGCAGCAAAACACAAAACUCCACAAAACUCAAGGCCUUCCACAGACCGUGCACCCCUUUAUGAUUUCUUGGUUGAAAAAUAACAGUCAAAUUUGCUGGGCAUUUGCAUAAAGAAAAGACCAGCCAGGCACCGUGUCUCAAGCCUGUAAUCCCAGCACUUUAGGAGGCCGAGGCAGGAGAAUCGCUAGAGGCCAGGAGCUUGAGACCAGCCUGGGCAACACAGCAAGACCUUGUCUCUACAAAAAAUUAAGAAAAUUAACUGGCCAUGGUGACGCACACCGGUGGUCCUGGCUACUUCGGAGGCUGAGGCAGGAGGAUCACUUGAGCCUGGUAGGCAGAGGCUGCAGUGAGCCAUGAUUGUGCCACUGCACUCCAGCCUGGGUGACAAAGUGAGACCAUCUCUCAAAAAAAAAAAAAAGGCCUUUUCUCCUUGUUGACUAUUUUACAGUUUGCCAAGGCCUUUCACACAUUUUCUCAUUUGAGAUUACAACCACUUGGCAAGAAAUGUAUUAUUACUAUACUCAUUUCAAAAUUGAUGAAGCUAAAAGGUCAAUGCCUUAACCAAGGUUGUAUGUAUUUACUGUGCAUAAUAUAUAGUCAAGGUCUAGGUCAACGGUAAUCUUUGUUCGCCUCCUUCAAAUAUCAGUCUCAGCACAUGCUGUGUCAGCUGCGCUUCAGAGACCUGAACUUCUUUGAUUCCUGGUCCAGCUAUACCAUUAGGCUAUAACCUCCAUGAAGGUAAGGCAGGAGCCUAUUCGUUUGCCACUGUAUCAGCAAAAUCAGGCCAAGCCUGCACAUGAUCACUCAGUGAACAUUUAUUAAAUUAUGGAUAAGUGAAUGAA